ACCAGAAACAUCACAAAUUUCCAACUGCGCGGUCGCUGCGCGUCGUCGAACGGUAAAAGUGUUAUUCUGAAAAGGAAAAACUUUGUCGAGAAGCGAAAAACUUGUGCAUAUAAUUAAGAAGCGCGCGGUGUAAAAGCCAUUUAGCUAAGCACUUUAACUAAGAAGUUGGCCAAAAGUUUUUCUUGUUCGCCAGCAUAUCGUUGCCGCCGUCGCCGCCACAAGACGGUUGUUGGGGCUCGUCAAAAAGUGCUCCGACAAGAUUUCCACUUGAAAUUCCUGAAUUUCGUCUCGCAAUCGGAAUAUAAAAGCGCAAUUCGAAUAAAGUACGAAUGAAAAUUAAGUUUUUCGCAACCCAAAGAGCGGAGUGAUUAUUGUACAAGUGCCAGUGGUUUUUCUAAGUGUUUGUGUGUGUUUGUCGAGUGUGUCACAAUUUCUGAGCGGAAAGGACUCUUGGAUUAGCGGUGCUUUUGACUCUGUUCCUGGCUGCUCCUGCUACCCGCCCCCUCACCUGGCUGAAUUCAAACGAUGCGCCCAGCAGCAGGUCUCCGCUGCCGCUGUCGGAGACGAUGAUGACGCCGCCUCUGAUGCCGCUGAUGAUGAUGAAGUUGCUGCCGAGGCAACAGUCCAACUGCUGACAGCCAAGUGCAUCUGAAAGAUACAAGAUAGCUGCAGAUACACAAAA